GCAUCUUGUAAUAACAUAUGAUGAUGUUCCAAGAGGUUUGGAGCCUUUAUUGUCUCUGUUUUUCAAGAAAAUAGUUAUUUUAUAGUAGUUAUUUCAUCGAUUUAGGAAGUAUUAAGAAGUUUUACUAAUUAAUUAAUAAAAAAUUAUAAUGAUUCCCAUAUACCAUGAAAAAGAGCGUAAUAUACAUUAAUACAGAUGUUGAAUGUGGUUAGAAAUUUUAAAACAACACUAAAAAUUAUAAGCUUCAGUAUAUAAAGAAUUUACCAAAAACUCAAUAUUUUCGAAGGGGUUAACACAUGGAUUUUGAGAAAAUUU